GUUGAUUUUGGCUGUGCCUGAGCGCGGAGGAGAUCCGCCGUCAGUAGCGCAAAGGUGAGCUCUGACUGCGCUGCCCUGACAUUUCACAGACGCUCCCUGCGGGACACACAUGGCUGUUUACGCCCAUUUCAAAGAGGAGGAAGAAAAAAACCCUGCGAUAAUCUCGCCAAUUAUGCACGCAAGCUGAUCCAAACACCUGCCCUUUCCUUCGAGAUGAAGUUAUCUCCUACUUUCUGCUCAAACGGACACCUGUCAGACUCAACAAAAGGACGCUGUUUUGCGCCUUCUGAAGCCAAAUUUCAUGCAAAUCAGUGUCUUAAAUGUUAUGCAAUGGCUGAAUAUUUCUGUAUUGGGAGCUUUUUUUUAAUCAACAAAUAAAACCCUUCAUUCUGCAAUUCUUAUCGACCACCCUUAACCAUUUAUUCACUUACUCUGAAAUUAGUCUGUACAAUUUUACAUCUUAACUUCAACUUCCUCAUUUUCUUAGCUAUUCUAGAUGUAAACAGGACAUACACACAUU